rnacentral:rRNA from 1 species
CGUGAGCGGCGGACGGGGAGGUAACGCGUGGGUAACCGUGCCUCAUACAGGGGGAUAACAGUUGGAAACGGACUGCUAAUACCGCAUAAGCGCACAGUACCGCAUGGUACGGUGUGAAAAACUCCGGUGGUAUGAGAUGGACCCGCGUCUGAUUAGGUAGUUGGUGGGGUAACGGCCUACCAAGCCGACGAUCAGUAGCCGACCUGAGAGGUGACCGGCCACAUUGGGACUGAGACACGGCCCAA